rnacentral:rRNA from 1 species
ACAAGCGAGCGGCGGACGGGUGAGUAACACGUGGGUAACCUGCCCAAGAGACUGGGAUAACACCUGGAAACAGAUGCUAAUACCGGAUAACGACACUAGACGCAUGUCUAGAGUUUGAAAGAUGGUUCUGCUAUCACUCUUGGAUGGACCUGCGGUGCAUUAGCUAGUUGGUAAGGUAACGGCUUACCAAGGCAAUGAUGCAUAGCCGAGUUGAGAGACUGAUCGGCCACAUUGGGACUGAGACACGGCCCAAACUCCUACGGGAGGCAGCAGUAGGGAAUCUUCCACAAUGGACGAAAGUCUGAUGGAGCAACGCCGCGUGAGUGAAGAAGGGUUUCGGCUCGUAAAGCUCUGUUGGUAGUGAAGAAAGAUAGAGGUAGUAACUGGCCUUUAUUUGACGGUAAUUACUUAGAAAGUCACGGCUAACUACGUGCCAGCAGCCGCGGUAAUACGUAGGUGGCAAGCGUUGUCCGGAUUUAUUGGGCGUAAAGCGAGUGCAGGCGGUUCAAUAAGUCUGAUGUGAAAGCCUUCGGCUCAACCGGAGAAUUGCAUCAGAAACUGUUGAACUUGAGUGCAGAAGAGGAGAGUGGAACUCCAUGUGUAGCGGUGGAAUGCGUAGAUAUAUGGAAGAACACCAGUGGCGAAUGCGGCUCUCUGG